rnacentral:lncRNA from 1 species
CCAAGUCUUUUAAACCUUUCUUAUUUAACUAUACAUAUAUAGGCAAGCAUUUAACAAUAUAAAAGUAUAAAAGAGGUUUUGUAAAACCUUUGAAAAGUUUAAUAAAUAAGAAUUUAUGACUUGAUGUCAGUUUAUAAAACAAUUCGAAAACAGUUGACAAGACAGUUUAAGUGUAAGAAAACCUUUGUUUGAAGCACAACUAUAACAGAUUCAAAAAGGAAACAUACAUUUUGUAAGACAGUUUCUAAAAGUGUUUUAACAUGUAAAAACGUUUGAGAAAGCUAUUUGAAGUACUCUAUUUGGUGAAACGGCUAAAAGUGUAGUAAGUCCAAUUGUAUGUUAGUUAUAAAUCACAUGUGAUUGAUUACAUAACCAAAAAGUAUAACAAAGAUUUAUGUCUUUCACACGGGGAUAACCAUGUGUUUACUUGUAUCCCCCCCCCCUUAAAAGUGUAUAAAAAGUGAACUCACUUGAUUGAAGUGGUUGAUUUGAAGUAGUCGAGAGAAGAAUCGAGUAGAACUUUGACAGGAAAGUCGAAAACGCGUGAAAAUCUCGGGAUUAUUGGGAAUAUCGAGAACACAAAACAUUACUUCGGGACAUGAAGGUGAAAACCGGGGCUUUGGGAGGGUCUCGGGGGCUUAAGCGCAGAGUUUCGGCGCAAGAGAUGGAAGAAUGGAGCACCUAAACCCGACACCCGAAGAGUUCUAUUUAUAGGGUGGAUUUUUGGGUGCCACGUCGUGGCUAAGGCUGGCCACGUUGUGGGGAGAAAGUAUUAUCCUCUUCUAUUUAUUGGAUGCCCUCAGUCACAUGCCGGGUCGCGGCAAACUAUGCCACGUCGUGGCAGGCCUGAAAGCCUCAGAUUUUGGACCCCGAACUUGUAAAAUCCAUAACUUUCGCGUACGAGCUCCGUUUUCGACGUUCUUUAUAUGCACGCAUAGCUAAAAAUAUUAUCUACAACUCUAGUUUAUACUUCAUUGGCAAAUUUUGACUUUAUUUUUAAUUAUUUAUUUUUAACGGGCCGGGACACGAAAAGUCCGUUAAAAUUCCAUAACUUCUUCAUCCGAUGUCCGUUUUCGUCAGGAUUUUCGUCGUUGCGCUACUAUUGUUGAGACCUUUGAUUCUCAUUUAGGUUGUUUUGGUAAAAAGUCUCUUGAGCUCUAUUUCGAGUUUUAAGCUGUCUACUGCUAUAUCCGAAUCUUGGAAAAAUCAUAACUUCCUCAUACAAAGUCAGAUUUGGACGUUCUUUUUAUGUACGCUCAUGGUUUAAUGUUAUCUACAACUUUCAUUUAGAUACUUAAGGCUAAAAACUAUUGUAUUGAAACUUCACGUUUUUCGUUUAAUCGGUGUUGCCGGUUUUGUCGGAAAUCUUAGAAUAGUCGUAAGUUCUUCGUUAUAACUCGGAUUUUUGUGUUCUUUAUAUGUAUGAAAACCUUGUUAUGAUUCCUACGACUUGAUUUAACCCAAAUAAGAUUUUAGGAAAUUUAUAUUUUGACCUAAAUUUGACUGGUGUUACAUUACAUUGUCUCUAAAUAUCGGGUUGUCGCAUCAUCCCCCCGUUAGAGAAUUUUGUCCCGAAAUUAGAGUUUAAGUAGAAUUGAUAAACAUGCUACGUAUAGAAGUUUUAUUUGCUUCUCGUGUUCUUGAGUGAACUCAGGUCCUCACUUGGCAUUCCAACGAAUCUUUCACUAUCGGGAUACGACUUUGCUUAUUUCGUUUGACUUCACUGGUAUGAUAAAUCUUCUUUGUCGAAUGUGUGUCGAGUGUUUUUGUGAUCUGUGAGAGUAUUACACAUUGUACCCUACAAGUAGUGUCUCCAGAUCUUCAGAGCAAUUACCAUUGCUCCUGACUCAAGAUCAUGUGUUGUAUAGUUAACUUAUUGCGUCUUAAGUUGUCUUGAGGUAUAGGCAGUGACCUUUCCUCUUGUAUAAGAACACAACCAAGCCCUUGGUUGGAUUCAUCGCCUUUCACCACGAAAUCUACUAUCCCCUUUGAGAGGGAUAAUAUCGGUGCGGUGCACCAGGCUUACUUUAGCAUUUGGAACGCUCUUUCUUGUUUACAGACAAGUCCGGUGCUCCUCCAAGUGAGAAACUUGGCCUAAAGAAUCCUCUUCUGAGGAGUUCGUUAAGCUUUCUGGGAAGUUCCAAUAUCUUAGUUGGAGUUAGACAAUAAGGUGAUUUGGCUACUAGGGUAGCCCUUGUAACUAAGUCGAUUCUGAACUCGAAUUGACGUUGUGGUGGUAAUCCCGGUAGUUCUUCUGGAAAGGUGUUGGGAAAUUCGCGUACUUUUGGAUGUUCUGAAUGUCCUUCACUUCUUGGCUCGUAUUGACGAUGUGUGCAAGGAAUGUGUGAUAUUCCCUUCGUAAGCGCUUUUGAGCUUAAAUACACGAAAUGAUACGAAGGUUCGUACUUGAUUUGUCUCCGUAAGUAACAAGAGGUUCUUUGAUAUGGAGGUUAAGAUGAAUUGCUUUAUCAAAGCACCUGAUGUCGGCUCGAUGUAGACUUAACCAACUCCUACUGAUUAUGAUGUUAAAACCUUGGGGGUGGAUUAGAUGGCAUGAAGAUCUAAAAGAAAGUAUGACUACUCAUGAAUUAGGGAAAAGGAUAGGUAUUUCUAAGCUUAUUCUCACGGAAGCAUGAUCACUCUCAGUCUUGGGCAGUCUCCGUCCUGAAGUUCAUAGUAGAACCCAUACCAGGUUCAUCAUUCACAGUCUCGGGUAUACGAGUCGUAUAUAAUUAAGAUUGAAACUGUGGGUCUUUGGAUUGAACUUGACGUACUGCACAAGUGGUACUUCGGGGAGGUUUGCUGAGGUUUCUUUGGAAAGGGUAAGAAACAUGAGGUACUCUACGCAUGAGUAAUUUGGAGUUCUGAAGUGAUAGUUUCGUUAGAAAGAUGAUUUCAGAGAAAAAGAUUUACGCACGAAACUGGUAUUGUGAGGGUCAAAUAGACUCUGAUCGUAUGAUGAAAUCAGAAUCACUUGGAAAUAAAGGCACUAGAUUUGAUCAUAAAGGCGUUACAGAAAAAACACAAUAGCAAAAAUUUUUAACAGAGUUACAGUACUUUAGAAUAACUACAGGAAUACUACUGCGAACAAAGUAUACUACAAAAGGCAAGUAUACGCAGCACGAGGGUCCCUUAACUGACAGGAUCUCGCAAAAGAUAAAACUCGAGUUGCACUAGUUUUAAACAUGUUUUAAAAACAUACAUAAUACUGAUGAUUGGAAGUGAACCUAUACUAUAGUAGGGUCCUUCGUUGCCUCUUUCCAUUAUGAGGUCAAACUCCUCUGGAUUCACUGUCGUUCUCCUCUGUUGGACAAUCCCUCUUGAAGUGUCCCAUUACGCCACAUAGAUGGCAUAUUCGAGAGAUUUCGACAUUUGUGGUUGAGGUAAUGUGUUGGAUCCAAGUCUUGUAGUAAUGGACGGUGUGUCCCUUUUUAUUGCAGUUUAAGCACUGCAUUUUCUGACAAGGUCCACGAUGGUGAUAGUUGCAUUUGUUGCACUUCGGAGGGUUGCCAGCAUACCGUCUGGCCGGGUUAGGGAUAACUGGGAUACUAGAAGAGAUGGUAGUAGGAGGUACAGAAGUCGUGACUGUGAAGGUUGCCAUAGGUUGUUGUCUUUUGCUUGCCCCUUGGGGUGAUUUGCCUUUAGCCUUAGCCCAGAACUUUCGUUUGUUAUUCUUGGGCUUGGGAUUCGGGGUGUCGUGAUAGUUUGUUGCUAGAUGAGGUAGUUGAUUGUUACUUGGAGUGAAAUUAUUGUUAAUAAUCCUGCUAACAUUCGCGUUGUUAACGUUAAGGUGGGUUAGAACAGCUGAUACGACAACCGAGACUGCAGCUUGAAAGGUAGUUGCAUCAAUCUGAAGAGUUGGUGUUUGGUUGAUGGGUUGAUCGUUUUUCUUCGGCGACAUGAUUCUGUUACACGGAAAGAAAAAUGAAUUUGUGAGCGAGUAUGGUUGAACCUAGACGUAGUCCGAUCAUUCAUAUAAAGAAUAGAAGUAUGUUCUCGAAGGUUUGACCUACAUCCCUAUGAUGCAGUCCUAGUACGGAAUAGGAGUAUGUUCACGAAGGUGUGACCUACAUCCCUAUGAUGCAGUCCUAGUAUGGAGUAGAAGUAAAUUAAUAGAAUGGUCUCAAAAUGCUUAUCAUCCAAACCAGGGUAUUAUCGGUUGGUAAAUAACAUGAUCCAACCUUUGAAAGAGAAUUGGGAACGAUCCCUGAGCUAAAUUACCCUAGUCCAAUAACUUGACUAGAGUGGGUUUCAGAUAGACUCCAAUGAAAGCAUGAUGAAAAGCAUUUGAACAAGGAUUGAUACGGAAGUUAGCCGACUGUCGAUAUCAUUGAUGUUGAAGAUGUAAUAGGUUUGGGGAAAUUGACGUUGUUGUAGGUCUUACAUCAUAUUCGGAGUAGAAAACUCUUUGACAGCAUAAAGACUUAACUAAAAGUACUACACAGAACAUAGACAGGAACAUGGUUCUUUAAAACAAGGAAGGAAGUAAGGUAUCUCUUACUGGCGACGGUCACCCCUAUGGUGAACCCUUAGUUUUGCUAGUUGACGUUCCAUAUCUUGCAGGUAGCUGUCGUACACCCUCUGGCGUACUUGGAGCUCUAUGACUUCGGCUCGGGUUUCAGCUAGUGCUUGCAGCAGGGUCUCAUGGUUUCUCUUAGAUCUCUCACUUGUGAUCAAGGCGAUUGGUGCGAAUGGUAUGCAUUCUUGCAUUGGUAUUAACCUCUUCGAUACGUUGGAGAACCGUCCUGCCCUGAAUUUCGUUUCGGGCAACUCUAUGGAUUAGGAUUGGUAGAACUCUGUCUGCUGAGCUCCCUUCGUUUACAUUUUAGAAGUUUCGGUCUCCAUUAAACGACAUAGGUUGAUCUUGCUCUUCCCUCCAUGUUUCCAAUCAUUCUACCCAAGGAGGCGUCGGGCCAUGAAAAGCGGGACGUGGGUUAAGAUUUAGAAAUGGAGCUACCAGGGGUAGGUUCUCAACCUCGGGUUCGGAGUUAUCAACAUCCAAAAGGUUUUCAGCAUGGUGAUCAUUCAAAGGGAUUGGAUGAUCAUUCUCUGGUCCUUCUCCAAACCAUCCCGCAAUGACUUCGUUCGAAAGGUACGGGUUGCCGUGGGGAUGGAGUCCAGCCAUGUUAUCUAUGCGAGAAUUAGGGUAAGGAAAUAAUUAUUAGACAAACUAUCUAGAUAAUUAUUAUUAUAAAAUCUUCAUUAGUUACAUCGCUAUUUGUAAAGUGCAUACCAGUCAUACGUAUUCAACACAGGAUAGGCUUUCGAAUAAGUGACCUUAACUCCAAAUUCACAAGGAAUAGGGGUAAAGCAAAGAUUUCACCGAUUCUAAGUCUAUAAUAUCCUAGUUACAUAUAUCCUUAGUGUAUCCACUUAACAACUAUCAACUUAGUAAUGAAGAUCCUUUUUAGUUCUCAAGUAAGUAAUUAUGGUAACACAAAACACCCCUAUGGUAUUUUAGACUUAGGUUCUGUUAUAAUGUUCUCAUUGUGGUAAUGUUGGUAAGUUUUUAGAAUUGUUGCCAUAUCACAACCAUUCUUGGGCAUAUGCUAAUCACUCCUCGGACCAGCAUAGUUGAUCAGGCUAUGCCACUCCCAAGACUGACUAUACAUCCCCAAGCUUACUUGUGAUAUUCAACAAUCGUAAUACUUUUGUUCUUGUCGUUGUAACACCGAUUUUAGUAUGCAUGCAGACACAUAUACUUACUUAAAUAUUUUAUUAUUUAGAAGUAUAAGCUCUAUUUUAGAGUAUUUUUAAUCCCAUUGUAUUUACAGUUAGUAUAUCUUUUAUUGGUUGAUAUACUUAAUUCACUAUAAACAAUGUUCUGAUACCAAUCUGUCACACCCCAAAACCGAGAAUGGCGGAAACGUUCUCGGGUGGAGGACAUCAUGUAUGUAUCACAACAAUGUAAAGUAGUAAACAAGCAAUAACAUCAUCCAUUUCAUUAAUAGAAUAAUUCUGUUUACAAGUGUGUUCUUUCAUAGUAUAAAACAACAUAAUGAAUACUCAAAAUAAAAGACGAGUCUAGACUGCUCCGUCUUCUCUAAACCUGGCAUCGGUACCUGCCUAUUUGUGACCUAAGAAUACAAGUUAUUUUGAAAGCGAGUAUCAGCAAUAAAGAUGGUGAAUUCAUAAGUACUUUAAUGUUAUUGCUUUGAAAAGUUGUUAUGAAAGACUAGUGAAUGUUUGAUGAAACAUUUAGUAUAAUUAUGAAAACCCUAGAAAAUCUCAUAUUUCCUAGUAGUAUAAAAAGUAGUCUUCUACCAAGACCCGAAUGUUUUGAAAGUAGUCUUCUACCAAGACCUGACCGUUUUGAAAGUAAGCGGCACUGUAGAUGUGACGGUUUUUCCCUUGUUUAACUAUUAUUAUAAAAGUUAUAGUCUACGUCGUCGUUUAUGUGUAUGAGUCACAAUAUAAAGGUAAUAAGGAAAAUAGUUUAUCUAUAUCGAAUAUGUUUUUUAAUACUCCCAGUGAGUCUUUUGUUUAAGUAAGACUGGUUAAAAGGGUGUGUAUCCCGAAUUGUGAACAUGUUAAUAAUAUCCCAUGGUAUAGUUAUUACCCCCUGAUUAUGAUUGAGUUAAAUGUAUAUUACUACGUAUAAGGGUUGUUGUUUCCGCUGUUUGUAAGAUUCUCAUAACCAUACUAGACGUGGUACUAAUGUCGACAUUUGUCACCGCAGACCUGCCGAUCUAACUGGAGCUUACAAUUUAGGUGUGGGUUCGUCAAACCCGUAUAGAUCUAUACAAAAAUUUGCGCUCUCCCUCUAGGAGACUCUGGUUAAAGAUGGGGACUUUCGUUUUGGUACUAACAAAGCCAUAUGUCUCACAUGAUUGCUAACAACAAGUUCACGAGUAAUAUAAUGAAAUACCUUUCGUAUGAAAAGAUUAUGCUUGUUAUGAAGAAUGCAUACUUGUAAAUAAAAUGCUGGUAUAGACUCAUGAAUGAACUGACUCUUGCAUGAUUCCUUGUACUUGGAAUUGUAAGUAGUAUAUCCUAAUUAUACAUAUUAUAGUUACUAGAAAUGUAAUUGAUGAGUGUCCAAAUAUGUUUAUACACCCUUGCUACCUAAGAGUGUCGGAACUGAACUAAUUGAUGGAUCUUUUAUGUCUAUAUCGGUAUACAUGAUAUAUAUAACUAAUAUUUAGACGACAUUCGGACGAAUAACUGAUACCCUAAGGCCACAUCCCAACAAGAACAAAAAAAGAAAUAAGGCGUGCUAGUCGUUCCAAGUCUUUUAAACCUUUCUUAUUUAACUAUACAUAUAUAGGCAAGAAUUUAACAAUAUAAAAGUAUAAAAGAGGUUUUGUAAAACCUUUGAAAAGUUUAAUAAAUAAGAAUUUAUGACUUGAUGUCAGUUUAUAAAACAAUUCGAAAACAGUUGACAAGACAGUUUAAGUGUAAGAANUAAAAAAAACAAAGAAAAAACAAUAAAAAAGCCACUUUAAGUGUAAGAAAACCUUUGUUUGAAGCACAACUAUAACAGAUCCAAAAAGGAAACAUACAUUUUGU